GGAGGGGUGGCCGAGUGGCCGAAGGCGCUGGUUUGCUAAACCAGUAUAGGGGUGACUCUAUCGUGGGUUCGAAUCCCAUCCCCUCCG
rnacentral:tRNA from 1 species